ACCCUGACCAAAACAGACCGCGCACGCGUCAUCCAGCCUGCCGGCGGCGGAUCCGUUCGUCGUUUGGCCAAGUCCUUGACAACCUCUCCUCUUCGGAGUGGGGGCUCAGGGUAAAAGAACCCACGACGCCUAAGGCGUCAAGGAACACUGUGGCUAGCCCGGGGACGCGGACGGCUUGCUGCCUGCCCCUCGUGCUGCAACGCUAUUUAAUCCACACGACUCUCGGCAACGGAUAUCUCGGCUCUCGCAUCGAUGAAGAACGUAGCGAAAUGCGAUACCUGGUGUGAAUUGCAGAAUCCCGCGAACCAUCGAGUCUUUGAACGCAAGUUGCGCCCGAGGCCAUUCGGCCGAGGGCACGCCUGCCUGGGCGUCACGCAAAAUACGCUCCCACCCCCUCAUCGGGGGACCGGGACGCGGCAUCUGGCCCCCCGUCGCCUAAGGGGCGGUGGGCCGAAGAUAUGGCUGCCGGCGCAUCGUACAGGACACAGCGCGUGGUGGGCGACCUCGCUUUACUUACCGCAGUGCAUCUGG
rnacentral:rRNA from 1 species